rnacentral:rRNA from 1 species
AAUCAACGCUGGCGGCGUGCCUAACACAUGCAAGUCGAACGCGAAAGUCCCGCAAGGGAUCGGUAGAGUGGCAAACGGGUGAGUAACACGUGGGUGACCUGCCUUCGAGUGGGGGAUAACGUCCCGAAAGGGACGCUAAUACCGCAUCAUAUGCCGCCUUUUAAGAGGUGGACAUCAAAGCUGGGGAUCGCAAGACCUAGCGCUGGAAGAGGGGCCCGCGUCCGAUUAGCUAGUUGGNGGGGUAAUGGCUCACCAAGGCAACGAUCGGUAGCCGGCCUGAGAGGGCGGACGGCCACACUGGGACUGAGACACGGCCCAGACUCCUACGGGAGGCAGCAGUGGGGAAUUGUUCGCAAUGGGCGCAAGCCUGACGACGCAACGCCGCGUGGAGGAUGAAGACC